rnacentral:lncRNA from 1 species
UGGGUCCUGGCCUCCACCCCACCCUGCUAGCCCUACGCCCCCUAUCCCUGAGUUCCCCUCACUUGUCCCCACUGAACACAAACCCUCCCUCUGUUUUGAAAUUGUCCAUUGCCUGCUAGACUGCGAUCUGCUGGUGAGAGUUUCUUAUGUCAGUCUUCACUCAGGACGAUCUUGCCAGACGGGAGUCGGCCAGUCAGAUUUGCAGAGCAGAGGAGUCAAGCAGCAAGGCAGAAAGAGCAGCAGGUCCAAGACGACUGAGUGGAACCCAAGCCCGCUCUCAGGCUCUGCUGCUGACCAGCACCAGAGGACCGGCCCAUUUGGAACACUCCCAGCCUCAGUUUCCUCAGCUGUAAAAUGGAACACACAGCUCUUUUUCAGGGCUGCUGGGACAAUGAAAUGAGACCCUGAAGUAUGGAAAAAUCCAAUAAUGCAGUGCCUGGCAUGAAGUCAGCACACAAUAAAUUGGUAGCUCUUAUUAUAAUAACUAAUUGCUGUACUGCUGAUUUGAGAAGAUAAAUAUAGAAUCGAAACUCUGGCAGGCAGCAGGAGAACUGGGCUGAGAGAGAGAAGACUUUUUGAGAUUGAUGACUCGAUUGGUCCAACAAGGCCUCUUAAAACUUCCAUUUAUUUUGGUUGCACACUGGAUACUUUCCAUGUUGAUAACUGCUGCGAAUGAUUAAGCAACAAUGGUGUCCUGUGAUGUUCUUGCGGCACAUGUGUGAUUGCAGGAAAUAUAUCUUUUUAUAACUCUGUACUAAGCUACACAAAAUUUAAAUUCCUAACAUCGUAAAACUAAGUGGGCAGAGUGAUGUAAUUGUACAAACUAAUAAACAGGAAAGAAACAACUUUCAGUAUCAUUAAAUACUUAAGUCAUAACUGGAGGGAAAUGGUGUUCUCAUAUCGACAGAAUUGUUUCUAGUAAAUGUUAUUAUCAUAAUGCAACAUCAUGUAGAAAUAUGCACCAAGCAUAAGCAAACAGCUUCGUGGACUUUCACAAAGCGAACAUAGCCUGUUAACCAACGCAGAGAUCAAGAAACGUAACAAUAUGUUAUUCCAGAAGCCCCUUUCUGCCCCUUCCUGGCUCAUUUCCCCUUCCCCUUCUUUCCCUUCUCUCUUCCUCCUCCUUCCUCUUUGAUGUACAAUUUACAAGCCAUAAAAUGCAUCUGCUCUAAGUAUCCAUACUAUCCUUUAGAGCUAGAAGGUUUCCUGAAGGCCCAGAGGUCCAAAAGCCAUAGGGCAAACCUUUCAUAGACUAAAAUCUCCAAAACUCGCAGCUCAAGCCCAGGAUGUCAUAGAUAUUUAUUGCUUAGAUCUAGAGAAGAUUUAAAAAUUAAUCGAUGUAAGGAAAUAUAUUACUAAAACACAGAUAGUACAUGGAUAACAAAAAAAAGAGAGAAAGAUUGUAUGCAAAUGGCCGAAGCUAGUAAAAUCAUAUACUUAGAUCCAGAGAGAGAAACAACUUCUGGGAGCCUGGAAAUUCUCUGCAU